rnacentral:rRNA from 2 species
GGAAGUAAAAGUCGUAACAAGGUCUCCGUAGGUGAACAUGCGGAAGGAUCAUUA